AUACGGUGCUAGUGAUGAUACAUGGGAGCCUAUUGAAGAAUUGAGUAAAUGUGAAGAAAAGAUACAAGAUUUUGUAACACAAGGUUUCAAGUCGAAGAUAUUACCACUUCCUGGACAUGUGGACGUUUUAUGUGGUGGUCCACCAUGUCAAGGUAUAAGUGGGUACAAUCGGUUUAGAAACUUUGAAGAACCACUGGAGGAUGAUCGGAA
rnacentral:misc_RNA from 1 species